GUCCUAGCAGUAAACGAUGGCCACUAGGUGUGGGGGUGGUUGACCCUUCCGUGCCGAAGCUAACGCAUUAAGUGGCCCGCCUGGGGAGGUACGGUCGCAAGACUAAAACUACAAGGAAUUGACGGGGACCCGCACAAGCAGCGGAGCGUGUGGUUUAAUUCGAUGCAACGCGAAGAACCUUACCAAGGCUUGACAUGCACUCGCAACACCCUGAAAGGGGUGCCUCUUCGGACGGGUGCACAGAUGUUGCAUGGCUGUCGU
rnacentral:rRNA from 1 species